CGGGUGGGCGGCGGUGCCAUGAACCUGGGAGAUGGUUUAAAGCUUGAAACGGAAUUAUUGGAUGGAAAGACCAAGCUAAUACUGUCUCCGUAUGGUAUGCCGUGUUGUUGGAAGUCUAAAGGUUUAAGUUUGUGUGCAGAAGUGUGGUGGUUUAACAUUUUGCUUGUAGUACAGUUAAAUGAUACUUGGAAAAAAGCCUUUUCCUUUAAUGUCUACAAAUUGAUAUUUAUCCAAGUAAAGUCAGAUUAUGACAGUGGUCACUGCUAUGUUGGGUCAUAAAAUACAUUUCAUGUGUAAUGUUUUUGGCGUUAGCAUACCUUGUUGCCUAAUAAGUAAUGCAGGGAGAGUUUAGAUAAUUAUGUACUUUGCCUGUAAGCAAACUAUUGUGUGAGAAAGUU
rnacentral:lncRNA from 1 species